rnacentral:rRNA from 1 species
UACGGGGGGGGGUAAGCGUUGUUCGGAAUUACUGGGCGUAAAGGGCUCGUAGGCGGCCAACUAAGUCAUACGUGAAAUCCCUCAGCUUAACUGGGGAACUGCGUGUGAUACUGGAUGGCUUGGAUUUGGGAGAGGGAUGCGGAAUUCCAGGUGUAGCGGUGAAAUGCGUAGAUAUCUGGAGGAACACCGGUGGCGAAGGCGGCAUCCUGGACCAAUAUUGACGCUCAUGUGCGAAAGCGUGGGGAGCAAACAGG